rnacentral:misc_RNA from 1 species
GUGAAUCAUCAAAUUUUUGAACGCAAAUUGCACUCUCCUCGGAGAGUAUGCCUGUUUGAUGCUCAACCUAUCAAAAUCGACAUCAUUGCUGUUUCACGAUGGCUUUCGUCGGAAAUUACGUCAUCUUAAAUCCUCUUUAUUUAAGCGACUUAAAAUUUUCUUUUGAUUCCCUUAACGUUUCUCAGAUCUAUUUCUUUACACGUUUAAGGUAUCUAUUUUUACUAGACGUUACCAUCAUAUCUGAUCGCGUCCAUAAUCUUUCAUUAACUGACCUCAGACAGUUAAUAGUACCCUCUGAA